rnacentral:rRNA from 1 species
CUGGCGGCGUGCUAAUACAUGCAGUCGAACGAGAACCUUGGAUUCGUCUGGGGGGGAGAGUGGCGAACUGGUGAGUAACACGUGGGUGACCUGCCCCGAAGACGGGGAUAACCGUUGGAAACGACGGCUAAUACCCGAUACACUCGGUGAUUCGGUUCAUCGAGUAAAGGCUCCGGUGCUUCGGGAUGGGCCUGCGGCCUAUCAGCUAGUUGGUGGGGUAAUGGCCCACCAAGGCGAAGACGGGUAGGGGGCGUGAGAGCGCGGNCCCCCACACUGGCACUGAGAUACGGGCCAGACUUCUACGGAAGGCAGCAGUCGGGGAUAUUGCACAAUCGGCGAAAGCCGGAUGCAGCGACGCCGCGUGGGCGAUGAAGGCCUUCGGGUUGUAAAGCCCUUUUAUGGGGGAAGAGACAAGGACGGUACCCCAAGAAUAAGCGUCGGCUAACUACGUGCCAGCAGCCGCGGUAAAACGUAGGACGCAAGCGUUAUCCGGAUUUACUGGGCGUAAAGAGCGUUGAGGCGGUUCCGUAAGUUGGGCGUGAAAGCCCCGGGCUUAACCCGGGGAGGUCGUUCAAUACUGCGGGACUUGAGGGCAGCAGAGGGAGGCGGAAUUCCCGGUGUAGCGGUGAAAUGCGUAGAUAUCGGGAGGAACACCAGUGGCGAAGGCGGCCUCCUGGGCUGUUUCUGACGCUGAAGGCGAAAGCUAGGGGAGCGAACGGGAUUAGAAACCCCGGUAGUCCUAGCCGUAAACGAUGGAUGCUGGGUGUGGGGGGUAUAGAUCCCCUCCGUGCCGAAGCUAACGCGUUAAGCAUCCCGCCUGGGGAUUACGGCCCGCAAGGCUUAAACUCAAACGAAUUGACGGGGGCCCGCACAAGCAGCGGAGCGUUUGGUUUAAUUCGAUGCUACACGAAGAACCUUACCUGGGCUUGACAUGUAGGUAGUAGUGAAGCGAAAGCGGAACGACCCUUCGGGGAGCCUACACAGGUGCUGCAUGGCUGUCGUCAGUUCGUGCCGUGAGGUGUCGGGUUAAGUCCCGUAACGAACGCAACCCUUGCCAUUAGUUACAUGUGUCUAAGGGGACUGCCCGGGACAACUGGGAGGAAGGUGGGGAUGACGUCAAGUCAGCAUGGCAUUUAUGUCCAGGGCUACACACACGCUAC